ACCACUGCCGGCUCUGAUAACCUGUGGAAACCAGCAGACACAGUGUGAGUAGUGAGCCCGAAAAAGAGGAAGGCCCAGAGCAGCCAUCAGCCGUCUUCAUUUCCCUGCAGUCAGCCCCUUGGUAUCACUGAUAACAAUGACAGGAGAAUCUCUCCGCCAGCACUGCCAGAUUGCAGCCUGCCAAGCUCCUCUGUCCAUGGGAUUCUCCAGGCAAGAAAAGUGGAGUGGGUUGCCAUUUCUUCCUCGAGGGGAUCUUCCCAACCCCAGAUUUCCACAAUCAGGCCUAAUGGUGACAAAGCUAUUGGGAAAGUCAGUUUUCAAGAAGUUGAAAGCCAAAUUGCAGCCUGCCAAGCUCCUCUGUCCAUGGGAUUCUCCAGGCAAGAAAAGUGGAGUGGGUUGCCAUUUCUUCCUCGAGGGGAUCUUCCCAACCCCAGGACUAAGGUGUCUGCUGAACAGGUCAGAGGUGACAUGACAUGGCAAGUAAGGGAAGAGUUUUUGUGAGGCUCACAUGAGAUAGUGGAAGCAAAAUGGUUUUGAGAAUUAUCCAUGAUAUGAGGAAUACUGGCAAGAGGAGGAGUAAGAAAUGCAGAGCCAGAAUGAGGACUCUGCUGGGUCCAGGUCCAUUGUCUCUUCUAACAAAGACCUAAGGGAUCAGAAAAACAGCAAAAUGGCUGUCUGGGGAGGCCUUACAAAUAGCUGUGAAAAAAAGAGAAGCGAAAAGCAAAGGAGAAAAGGAAAGAUAUAAACAUCUGAAUGCAGAGUUCCAAAG
ensembl:lncRNA